UACGUAGGGACCGAGCGUUGUCCGGAAUCAUUGGGCGUAAAGAGCGUGUAGGCGGCCCGGUAAGUCCGCUGUGAAAGUCCAGGGCUCAACCCUGGGAUGCCGGUGGAUACUGUCGGGCUCGAGUCCGGAAGAGGAGUGUGGAAUUCCUGGUGUAGCGGUGAAAUGCGCAGAUAUCAGGAGGAACACCAAUGGCGAAGGCAGCACUCUGGGACGUGACUGACGCUGAGACGCGAAAGCGUGGGGAGCAAACAGG
rnacentral:rRNA from 1 species